rnacentral:rRNA from 1 species
GAUAUUUGACAAUCGGGGCAACCCUGACCCAGCCAUCCCGCGUGUGUGAAGAAGGUCUUCGGAUUGUACAGCACUUUAUGUUGGGAGGAAGGGCUUUAGGUUAAUUCCCUGAAUAUUUGACGUUACCAACAGAAAAAGCACAGGCCAACUCAGUUCGAGCAACCACGGUAAUACAGAGGGUGCAAGCGUUAAUCGGAAUUACUGGGCGUAAAGCGCGCGUAGGUGGUUCAGUAAGAUAGGUGUGAAAUCCCCGGGCUUAACCUGGGAACUGCUUUCAUAACUGCUGAGCUAGAGUACGGUAGAGGGUAGUGGAAUUUCCUGUGUAGCGGUGAAAUGCGUAGAUAUAGGAAGGAACACCAGUGGCGAAGGCGACUACCUGGACUGAUACUGACACUGAGGUGCGAAAGCGUGGGGAGCAAAC